AAAGAAUUAGUUAAAUAAUAACAUUAGAUUGUCAAACUAAAAUUAUUAAAUUAUUAAUAUUCUUUA
rnacentral:tRNA from 1 species